rnacentral:sRNA from 1 species
UGGUGUUUGCCAGAAUGAAAGGGCAGGAAGGUGAGCAGUAGCAUAAAAGUGGAGCGUCAGCUUCACGAUAUGCGAAUAUUGGGUAGAAUUGUGGGAGUACGAAGUACGGAACAAUUCGUAAGGCAUCU